rnacentral:rRNA from 1 species
GGACAGUAUGGGAGUGAGAAUGUUGGCAUGAGUAGCGAGAUGUGGGUGGGAAUCCCACAGGCCGUAAACCCAAGGUUUCCAGGGGAAGGUUCGUCCGCCCUGGGUUAGUCGGGACCUAAGCUGAGGCCGAAAGGCGUAGGGGAUGGACAACAGGUUGAUAUUCCUGUACUACCGAUAACCGUUUGAGAGAAGGGAUGACACAGUAGGAUAAGCUAAGCACACUGUUGGUUAUGUGUGCCCAAGCAUUGAGGCAGUCAAAGUAGGCAAAUCCGCUUUGAUAAUGCUGGGAUGUGAUGGGGAGCGAAAUUUAGUAGCGAAGUAGCUGAUUUCACACUGUCAAGAAAAGUCUCUAUCGAGGUUAAAGGUACCCGUACCGCAAACCGACACAGGUG